rnacentral:lncRNA from 1 species
GUCACAAAUUGCCACUAUGAGCAGAGAAAGGUGUGAGAGGUCACAGAGGCCGGGCCUGUGACAGAGAGCUCACGGGUGUCCUGCUGUGGGUGAAUUUGGAAACACACCCCUCUGGGAUCUGCAGGGCAUGGCAUGUGUUGGGAGCAAUGGCCGUGCCCCUCUGUUCUCACACACCAGGCCGUGUCCCCCAGGGGAAGCAGCCAUGCUCUGCAAUACCUCUCAAUCGGUGCAGUUUACAGUCCCGUCUGCUGACUCAGGGCCUGACCGGAUGCCAACGGAUGCCAACGGGGACGAAGCGACCGCGUCAUGUCUCAGCUCAGCCCCUCGGCACUCAGCUUCCAUGAGGAGAGCGUGCCAGCGGCGGCCAGCGGCGGCCACCGGCCGGGACCCGUGCAUUUCGGAUGAGAGAUGCAUGGAGCCAGCCUGCCGCCCGGGGAAGAGGCCGCAUAGCCAGGUGCACACAGACCUCUGGCUCCGCUAAGACACUGAGAUGUGCAGACGUUUGCUGUUGCAGCCCACGGUGAUCAGUACAGUCACCUGGGAUUUUUGAUGCACAGGGAUCUCCAGGAGCUGGUUGGGUCCCCGUUCCUCAAGAGGUGUUUAGAUCUGUACGGAAGACAUCGUGCCUGAAUUCACCUGUCACCUUGAAGGCUCUUCUUCCCAGUUGUUCAGUCUCACCUGUGAAACUUUUAGGUGUACCAUGUGUCUUCACUGUAGUAGUUUUGUUGCUAUAGUUUCCCCCCAGUCUCUGCUUCAUGGUUCAUUCAGACACUCACAUGUCUGUUUCCUAGGUCAGUAUGUGAUCCUCCCCUUAAUGGAGUUCCAGACUCCAGUGCUGUGUGUCUCGUCUGCCUCUGCUCUGCAUGUGCUCCCGCUUCUGUUCUUGUGUUCCUGCUAGUGUCUAACCUACCAUCCUGUGUCCCCAGUCCUGAUCCCUGACCUGUCACCCCACCCCCAUCCUAGUCCUUGACCCCUUAGUCCCACUCUUUUUUUUUUAAUUUUAUUUUUUAUUUUUUAAAAUUUACAUCCAAAUUAGUCAGCAUAUAGUGUAACAAUGAUUUCAGGAGCAGAUUCCUUAGUGCCCCUUACCCAUUUAGCCCAUCCCCCCUCCCACAACCCCUCCCAUUAACCAUCAGUUUGUUCUCCAUAUUUCUAAGUCUCUUCUGUUUUGUCUCCCUCCCUGUGUUUAUAUUAUUUUUAUUUCCCUUCCCUUAUGUUCAUCUGUUUUGUCUCUUAAAGUCCUCAUGAGUGAAGUCAUACGAUUUUUGUCUUUCUCUGACUGCCCUUGGUCCCACUCUUAUCCUCCUUUGCCUUGUGGCGAAAGGACUCUGAUGAAUUGUUCGAGACAAUUUAAAGUUAUGCCAAAACAUGUAAUUAGGGGAUAUCGUAUUCAGCGGAUUGGUUUUGGAAAUUAGAUCAUGGAGAGUCGGUUAUUCAGAGCUUUGGCUUUGAGGCAUUGAGAAAAUCCCAGCGCCCGGACG